rnacentral:rRNA from 1 species
AGUAACGGCGAGUGAAGAGGGAAGAGCCCAAAUUUGUAAUCAGGCACCCUACAAGGUGUCUGAGUUGUAAUUUUGAGAACUGUUUUCUGUGCUGGACCAUAUAUAAGUCUGCUGAAAAGCAGCAUCAUAGAAGGUGACAAUCCUGUGUGUGAUAUGGACUACCAGUGCAUUAUGAUACAGUCUCCAAGAGUCGAGUUGUUUGGGAAUGCAGCUCAAAGUGGGUGGUAAAUUCCAUCUAAGGCUAAAUAUUGGUGAGAGACCGAUAGCAAACAAGUACCGUGAGGGAAAGAUGAAAAGAACUUUGGAAAGAGAGUUAACAGUGCGUGAAAUUGUUAAAAGGGAAACACUUGAAGUUAGUCUUGUUACUGUUGGUUCAGCCCUCUUAGGGUGUAUUCCAAUGAUUAACAGACCAACAUUAAUUUUGGGUGCUGGAUAAGGGUCUCUGGAAAUGUAGCAGUCUCUGGCUGUGUUAUAGUCCUGGACUUUGAUACAGUGCCUGGGAUUAAGGAAACAGCAGUAAGCCUUUUGUUAGGCAGACUCCCCUUGGGGAGUCUUCUUACUGAGGAUGUUGGUAUAAUAGCUUC